GGGCCGAUAGUUUAGGGGUAUAGCGCCACGUUCGCAACGUGGAAGUCGAGGGUUCGAUUCCCUCUCGGUCCA
rnacentral:tRNA from 1 species